rnacentral:tRNA from 1 species
AGAGUUGUAGUUUAUAAUAAAACAUCUUGUUUCAAACUAGAAAUAAGGAUUAACUUCCUCUCCUCUG